AAAUAUCGCCUUUAAGGAUGUCUGUGACACUCCACUCUUUUACCCAUUUUUUGUUUCUUCCCUCUCCCCAGAUCCAGUAGAAUCUACUUGGAUGGCAGUUCCGAGGACCACUUCAUGGUAUGGACCCUUCGCAGGGCUACACUUCUGAGGUUCCCAACAGCAUCUGGUGCACUCGAAAUGGCUUUUUAUAUCAGUUCAUAGCUACCCAUCAGAGAGAUUGUAGAAUUAUCUAACGUGAUGCGUUGUGGGAAGAUUCUAUUUAAAAGUUCAUAAUCUGACGGUGGCUGUGGCUGUGCGUUCAUCUCCGAUGAUCUUUGGAACUGGCUUUGACUUAUCUGAGAUGGUAUCUUCUGCAUCUCAUCGAACUCAAAUACCAACCAUGAAGCUUCCCCAGAGGCCAUUCUUUCUACUCCUGUCUUCCUGGCCCACAAUACUCCCACGGAAGAGAUCUGUUCAUCUUUCCAGAUACAUUGUCUAUGUGUUAAUUCUCUUUCAGCGAUGUUAUUGUUCCCUCCUCAGGGUUGUAUCCGCCCCUCAGGGAACUACAUCAGUCUAAACACCAAUUAUAAAUGCAGUUCAAAUUUUUACCUAUGAAGAAGCUCCCCACCCAGGGUGAAUUAGUGGGUGCAAGACAAGGUAUUUGCAGAAGGAUUUACUAACACAAGGCCUAGCAGAACUCCUUUGCAUCACAUAGUGACUACACUAAAACAGUCUGUUGUCAUUCUCCCUUCACCGUGCUGUGAAUAUCUAGAUGGUGAGAAUUAUAUCAGAUUCACAUUUAUGUCAUGAUGUAUAGUGAGGCAACAGUUAUGUUUGGAGGCAUUGAACAUAAAGUCACUGAGUUUCAUUGAUCUUUUAAAACCAGGGCUCUUCUAGUAGAAGACUUCAGGUGGGGGCAGACUAUUCCGCCUCUCAGGGUGAUCCUUCAAGGCAUUUAUUUGCUAGGUCAUUGUUCAGAAAACAAGAUAAAAUCCUACAGACUUUUUCUUAGCAUUUAGAAUCUGUAUGUAGAUUUCAUAUACUUGUUCCCACAGCCUAUUCUGGUCCUAGUUGGUAGCAAUAAGCACUGACAUUCUUGGAAAUGCAGUUUGGCUAAGAAUGUUUUAUCAGUUUUUGUGACCAUAUUAUAAUAGGAAAAUGGCAUGACUGGAUUUACUGUCAGCUGAAAGAUGUGUGCUUGAUAUAUAUUUGAUCAUGAAAGACUAAUAUGUUGUGGCAGCAAAUGUAGUUUAAUGAUACUUUUAAAAAUUUAGGAUUUCAAUGUCAGAGAAGCAAACUGGAAACUCAAUAUGUAUGCACUCUGUGCCUUUUGUCUUCUUGUAAGAAUCUGUCAAUUAUCUUACCCCAAAUAAAAGUCUACUGCACUAAAACUCACUUGACAGAAACAUAAAUAAUGGCAUAAUUACAAAUAAAUUCUGAAAUUAGUUUACAUUUUUAAAUGUGCAGGUCAGGAUACGUAUAGAAAAGUGUAAACACGUAGAUAUUAUUACUUCAUUGUCUAUGAUUAUUUCCAGUAAAUUCGUUUAUAAAUUCCAGAUUCUUUUUAACUCAAUGGCAUGAAAUAAUGUGAAUAAAUACCUGGCUUUCAGAAGG
rnacentral:lncRNA from 1 species